UAAAACAUAGUUUUAAUGCAUUGAAUCCCAUUAGAACUCUGCAGUUAAGUGUGCUUGGGCUAGAGUAGUACUGGGAUGGGUGACCACUCGGGAAUUCCUAGUGUUUUAC
rnacentral:rRNA from 1 species